AUCUUACCCACUAAACAUUAGACGUCUUAUGGACGUGCAGAUCAUGUCUAUAUUGCGUCGGUCGGUCCAAGACCAAUUCUGUACGUCUACACGACGUGCAAACUAGGUCCGCUAUUUGGACGUCUAACUAUGACCCCACUUGGACGUCAAUAUGCAGUUAAACAUUUGAACGUCGGACUAGGUCACUUUUUUGGACGUCAUGGGGACGUCUAAUACAGGUGCAGGAAAUUAACAUUAUUUAAGAAUAUAUUUAUUUUUAAAUGUAUGUCAAAAUUGUUGUUAUCAAUAUUGUUAAUCACUAUGAAUAUAGAUUAUUUAUGAUUAAGCAUCAUUUAUUUCUAAUUAUUUAUUUGAGUAUUAUAUUUUUUAUCUAUUUAAUUAAUUAACGAAUGUAGGUAUUUAUUUACGUAUGUUUUUAUUUUUAUUUGGAAAUGCAAUUUAUGUGGAAAAUUGUUAAGUUGAUUUCAACCAGUCAACACCACUCUGAUUUGCUGAGACCGCACGUCAUCAUAAACUCCACUCUGAUAUGCCGAGGCAAAACACGCUAAACAUUUUUUGGCUGCUGCAGUAGCUCAGCUCAGCUCAGCUCAGCUCAUUCAGUUCAGCUCGCUCAGCUCAGCUCCGCUCCGGACCGGACUCAGCUGCCAAGCUAUAAGAUGGAGUCAUGAAAUGUGACGGGACAGCCACCGAGGACUUCAUACUUCGGAGCAUCUCAAACAUGCACCACAAAGACGUGGAGGACACACCGCUGUCUCUCAGGACCUAGAAUCUUAAUGAAAGUAUAAUGAUGUUAAGGGAAGGUGUAGUGGAAAGGUGUGAUAGUGUUGAGGGAAGGUGUAAUAGUGUUGAGGGAAGGGGUAAUGUUAAAGGUGUAAUAGUGUUAAGGGAAGGUAUAAUAUUGUUAAGGGAAGGUGUAAUGCAGGGGUCUCAAACUCAUUUUUGCCGAGGGCCACAUUGACAUAUUGGCUGUCCUCUGAGGGCCAGAUGUAACUUACAAAUAUAAGAAAAUGUAACCAGAUGUAAUAUAAAAUGAAUGUAAUUACUCCUUAAUGUUAAAUAACUCUCAAUAUACUAUUUAUUCAAUCAAAUAUUACAGUUGCAUGGAAAAAUGUUUGCUUGUUGCUCUAUUAACAUAAAUCCUUUUAAUUUGUCAUGUUAUGAAAUCCAAAAACUCCAUCAAUCAAGAACCAAACUAUUCAAGUGAAUAGAAAUUACAUCAAGUACAAGUUAUAUUAACUUUGAUCAAAACGUUUGAUACUGAAAUAAGGCUUAAUAAAUAUAAAAUCAAAAAUUGUGAGCUGUGACAGAUUUAGCAUUUCCUCAGAUUUAGCAGUUCCUCAUCCAACCACUAGUCGGAGCUGCAGCUGCAGCACCACAAGCCCGCAGUCUUUGCUUAGUCAGAGCUACAGCCCAGCCACGGGCUACAGGACUCAGCUGAGCCAGUCUGGAGCGUUUUGAAAUUUUUUAAGUUCUUCUGUGUAUGAAACAAAAUAACCCCACUAACCGGAUAAUACAGCUCUCUACAGUUCAUCUUUCAGCCCAAGCAGCUAACAGCAGCAGUUUAGAGCAGCGUCACGGAGGCACUGCUGGGAUUACAUUAUAAACAGGUCAGUUAGCGCUGCUAACCUCAGGAUGUUUAUAACUACGGAGUUUAAUGGACACACCACGGCAGCAAGGUUAGACUGUUGAAGGCUACUGAAGACUACUAAAGCAGGCAACGCAGCGUAAGCAAAAAAAAAACAAAAACCACACACACACACCAAAAUACAAGUUAAGAUAAAAUAUGAAAACGAACAUAAUAAAGCAUAAAUAAUUAAAUUGAAUUGCGGGCCAGAUGUAUGUUUAUUUUGUUAACCCGUGAGGGGCCGUAUGAAACCGCGUGGGCCGGUACUUUGAGACCCCUGGUGUAAUGUAAAGGUGUAAUAGUGUUGAGGGAAGGUAUAAUAUUGUUAAGGGAAGGUGUAAUGUUAAAGGUGUAAUAGUUUUGAGGGAAGGUGUAAUAGUGUUGAGGGAAGGUGUAAUGUUAAAGGUGUAAUAGUGUUAAGGGAAAGUAUAAUAUUGUUAAGGGAAGGUGUAAUGUAAAGGUGUAAUAGUGUUGAGGGAAGGUAUAAUAUUGUUAAGGGAAGGUGUAAUGUAAAGGUGUAAUAGUUUUAAGGGAAGGUAAAUGUUUAGUGAAAUUGUUAUGGUGUGAAUCUAAGGUGUAUGUUAUGUUGAUGUAAAAUAAAGGCAUUAACCCCAAAUGA